rnacentral:tRNA from 1 species
AUUAUUUUGGCAGAUUAGUGCAUUAAAUUUAGAAUUUAAUUAUGUAAUNNAAUUACAAAUAAUAC